GUCAUCAUCAUCAUCUUCACCUUUCUCAGGAUCAUUUGCAGAAGCAACUGGUGGCAGUGUCUGACUUUCACUUACAGUUCGACUACAUCCUGUGGUUAGCGCUUGUAAAGCAAUCUGAGAAGUAUCAACAUCUUCCUUGCUGCAUGACAAGUCUCAAAUUUGGACAAGUAACAGCAACACACAGCGUUAAUGACUAACACAUGACUAAGCCAAGUGGGCCUCUGCAGUCCUAGCCAACCUCCUCUGCUUCUGACUGAAUGGCUGAAAAGAACUGCCUCUUCUUGCAACUGGUUAGGUAAAUGGAAUCAAGACACAGGUGGGUAGGACCCAAAGUCAUCACUUAAACCACAUGGAUUAAGUCAUAUUCUCCAACUUAGCCCCUAUCGGUUAAUAUUCUACCUUGGUGAUGCAAGUAGUACAGAAUACCUACUUUACUGGUUUAAUAAAUAAACCAAUACUGAUUCCUUUGCAUUUUGCUAUCGGCUGUGUGUGUGUGUGUGUGUGUGUGUGCGCGUGCGCGCGAG